rnacentral:rRNA from 1 species
CCUACGGGGGGCAGCAGUGGGGAAUAUUGGACAAUGGGGGAAACCCUGAUCCAGCGACGCCGCGUGAGUGAAGAAGUAUUUCGGUAUGUAAAGCUCCAUCAGCAGGAAAGAAAAUGACGGUACCUGACUAAGAAGCCCCGUCUAACUACGUGACAGCAGCCGCGGUAAUACGUAGGGGGCAAGCGUUAUCCGGAUUUACUGGGCGUAAGGGGAGCGUAGACGGCAGCGCAAGUCCGGAGUGAAAUGCCGGGGCCCAACCCCGGAACUGCUCUGGAAACUGUGACGCUGGAGUGCAGGAGAGGUAAGCGGAAUUCCUGGUGUAGCGGUGAAAUGCGUAGAUAUCAGGAAGAACACCGGCGGCGAAGGCAGCAUACGGGACUGUAACUGACGUUGAGGCUCGAAGGCGUGGGGAGCGAACAGGAUUAGAUACCCGGGUAGUC